UCUCCGUAGGUGAACCUGCGGAGGGAUCAUUACUGAGUGAGGGUUUAACCGCCCGACCUCCAACCCUUUGUGAAUCGUACUCGUUGCUUCGGGGGCGACCCUGCCGUCCGCGGCUGAGCGCCCCCGGAGGACUUCCAACCCUGCAUCAUUGCGUCGGAGUAUUUUUUGUAAAUCUAAACAAAACUUUCAACAACGGAUCUCUUGGUUCUGGCAUCGAUGAAGAACGCAGC
rnacentral:misc_RNA from 1 species